AAUACGGGUGGCAGCAGUGAGGAAUAUUGGUCAAUGGUCGGGAGACUGAACCAGCCAAGCCGCGUGAGGGAUGAAGGUACAGAGUAUCGUAAACCUCUUUUGUCAGGGAACAAAGGCGGGGACGUGUCCCCGGAUGAGUGUACCUGAAGAAAAAGCAUCGGCUAACUCCGUGCCAGCAGCCGCGGUAAUACGGAGGAUGCGAGCGUUAUCCGGAUUUAUUGGGUUAAAAGGGUGCGCAGGCGGUCUGUAAAGUCAGCGGUCAAAGCCCGGGGCUCAACCCCGGCCCGCCGUUGAAACUGGCAGUCUCGAGUUGGAGAGAAGUAUGCGGAAUGCGCGGUGGAGCGGUGAAAUGCAUAGAUAUCGCGCAGAACUCCGAUUGCGAAGGCAGCAUGCCGGCUCCACACUGACGCUGAGGCACGAAAGCGUGGGUAUCGAACAGGAUUAGAUACCCUAGUAGUC
rnacentral:rRNA from 1 species